GCGAAAUGAUAGGAGAAGAACGGAGGGGGUGGAAUGAAGCUAAGAGCUGGAAAGGUGAUUGGCGAAAGUGAUACAGAGCUGGAGAAGGGAAAGGAUCAUGGGACGGGAGGCCUCAGGAGAAAGAAAGGGGGGGAAGCACCAGAGGGAGAUGGAGAACAGGCAAACAACCAAACAUGGGGUAAGAAGGGGAGGAGGGACAUUAACAGAAGUUAGAGAAGUCGAUGUUCAUGCCAUCAGGCUGGAGGCUACCCAGCCGGUAUAUAAGGUGUUGUUCCUCCGACAUGAGUUUGGAUUCAUUUUGACAGUAGCGGAGGCCAUGGAUAGACAUAUCAGAAUGGGACGUGGAAUUAAAAUGUGUGGCCUCUGGGAGAUCCUGCUUUUUCUGGCGGACUGAGCGUAGGCGUUCAGCGAAACAGUCUCCCAGUCUGCGUCGGGUCUCACCAAUAUAUAAAAGGCCACACCGGGAGCACCGGACGCAGUAUACCACACCAGCCGACUCACAGAUGCUGCCUGGCCUGCUGAGUUCCUCCAGUAUAUUGUGUGUGUUCCUUGGAUUUCCAGCAUCUGCAGAUUCUCUCGUUUGUGAUUCAAAUGCAUCUAUAACCAUCUUGAUGUGCUAAACAUCAAAAUAUCUACCUCUCCCAUUGGUGCUGCCCUCCAGUGUUUGCUCAAUGGAUGACAAGCUGGAUCGCAUACAUCUACGGCUGCACCACAGCGAGAUGUGGAACUGCUGCCUGCUUGUUCUUGCAGAAACACGGCUCCAGGACAACAUCCCAUGCACCAAAAAUCUACAAGCCAUGAUACUUAGGAAUUUGAGCUGUAUUUUUUUUGUGACUGUUUAUCAUAACUGUAUGUGCUGUGUGAGACUGUGGGUACUGUUUUUUGCAUCUUGGCCUCAGAGGAACGAUGUUUCAUUUGUCUAUAUUCACACAUAUGUUUGAAUGGCAAUUACAUUUGAAAUUGAACUCUCAAAAUAGAUGCUAACAUUGUAUUUGCCUUUCCACUGACUCAAUCUGCAAGUUAAACUUUCGGGAACCCUGCACGAAGACUCCUAAGACCCUUUCCACCAAUGAUUUCUUAUUUUUCUCCCCAUUUAGAAAAUAGUAUAUGCCUUUAUUCCUUUGUUACGAAGGAUGGGCAGAAGAGUGCUGAGUCGCCCAUGCCCCUCCCCCUUUUGGAGAAUCGCAAAUCGCUACUAUUUCGAUGCUGAUAACAAGGAAGUAAGAGAGACAAAGGAAAGCUGCCAGGGCAGUUGUUAUUGAUAACAGCUCAUGAAGGAGAAUGAGAGAGAGACACAGCUAAAAGGUACCCCAUGGUGGAAUGGCUCCUACCAACAAAAGAGGAGCGGAACCAUAGAUUACUGCUAUUGUCUUUUGGAGAAGGAUUGUUUACCUGGUACUGUUCUAUUCAUUGAAACCUCUCAGGGGGCAACCAGAGUGGGCUGGUUUGAUGGGUUACAUCAUCCCAACCUGAUUGACACCUGAGACCCCAUGAGAGGGGAUAAAAGUGAGGUCUGGGGUAACACCCCUCAGAUGCACCAGGAGAAAUGCUAGUGAGCAUCAGAACCCCCUUGAGACAGGGUGGGAGAUCGGAGACCGAACGAAGGGUCGGUAAAUUUUAACUCACUGUGUUAUGUAGCGAGACCAAUGGGGGCUUGUGUGUGUGUCCACCCUUACCUGGGUGACGAGUCCACCAUGGAAGAACGGUCUAGCUAAAGGACGGAGAGGUCAUAUGUGACUGGCCACAACAACAACGCAUCGACGGAUCAAAAUCGUAAAGGAAGGUUGGCAAGAUAAUAGCUGUUACUGUUCACACAUUUUCUCUCUCUCUCUCUCUCUCUCUCUCUCUCCAACAAUUGCAACACAUCGACAAACAACUACCGCAGCCUGCAUGAACUAAACUGAACUUUAUAUUUCCAUCUGACAAAUCAUUAUCCCGUAGACAACGAUAGAGCUUGUUUCAUUAGUGAUUAUUAUUAAACCCGCACUUUUAGGUUUAGUAUUGCUAACGUAUAUUCUUUGUAUAUUCGCAUUGAUAUUAUUUUGUAUAUUUUUGCUAAUAAAUAUUGUUGAAAAUAGUAUCACCAGACUCCAACGGAC